AGCGAACGCUGGCGGCAGGCCUAACACAUGCAAGUCGAACGAACCUUUCGGGGUUAGUGGCGGACGGGUGCGUAACACGUGGGAACGUGCCUUUAGGUUCGGAAUAACUCAGGGAAACGUGUGCUAAUACCGAAUGUGCCCUUCGGGGGAAAGAUUAAUCGCCUUUAGAGCGGCCCGCGUUUGAUUAGCUAGUUGGUUGAGGUAAUGGCUCACCAAGGCGACGAUCAGUAGCUGGUCUGAGAGGAUGAUCAGCCACAUUGGGACUGAGACACGGCCCAAACUCCUACGGGAGGCAGCAGUGGGGAAUCUUGCGCAAUGGGCGAAAGCCUGACGCAGCCAUGCCGCGUGAAUGAUGAAGGUCUUAGGAUUGUAAAAUUCUUUCACCGGGGACGAUAAUGACGGUACCCGGAGAAGAAGCCCCGGCUAACUUCGUG
rnacentral:rRNA from 1 species